GAGCAAACCCAGCAUUGCCCAUACCUCACCCCCAUGGAGGCACUGAUGCUCUCCAUCAGCCAGCACAGCUUUGAAGCUUGUUUUUGGAGAAGAAGCUGCUCUCUGGGCUCUUCUGGCUGCUUCUUCCCCUGCUUCUCCUGGGCUGGUGAGAGCCGUGAAGAAGGGAGGUGAGCACAGAGGAUGCUUUGAACACGCUGCAGAGAAGCUGAGUGCCCCACAGCUCCGGGGAGAAAGAUGUCUCCUCACCCCAGGCAAAGCCCUGGAAUCGUGAGAACUUCCAAUGACUUGGCAAAUCGCUCUGAAUCACUGACGUUUGGCGGCCACCUCCACCCAUGCCUGUCCCUUGCCUGCUCCCUCGCCGGGUGUCAGUUCUCGAGCCUACGUGCUGAGAAGAGAAGUUAAAAAGGCAUAAUACCCUUCAAUCCAUCCGGUAUUGCUGACACUGAUGCAAGUGCCAUGGUGUUACGGAACGGGGAAGGCUGGGAGUGGCACGAAAUCAGCCCAGGUUCACCGACAACAGCGCUGCCGGCGUGUGUCAGUUCAGCUCUGCAGAAGAAGCUGCAAUGUGAAGUUUUGGGGGGUGUUUUGGGGUUAAAAGCUCAAGCUGGAGCGGGGCUGCCUGCUGCGGAGCUGCAUCCAGGAGAAAGCUUUUCUCAUGGAAUUCAUGCGGCCGGGGCUCUGUAAUGGAAAAUGCGCCACACCUUAAAUGCUAUCAUAUUACUCAUGAGUGCAAUGCUGGUAAUUAACUGAGUUAAAAACCAGAUUUAUUGCGUGUCAAUUAUCACCUAACAAGUUGGCAUAUCUGAGAGAUGCAUCAGCGGCCGGAUGCGCUGGUUUCCCACCUGAGGUAAGGGAGGUCACCUGCCUCGCCACCAGGGCAGCUUUAAUGGAUCUUGCCGUAUUUAAACACAAUCUUACUCACGCUCAGGUACAGGAACGUGUUUAACACCAACGGGCUGCACGGUUACAGAGUGAAGUCCUCCAGUGUAACGAGAUGCAAAACACCUAGUGGUUUCAUCACCAAUUUUGUGUCUGUGCGGAGCCUCCUCGCAUCUCCUGAUUGCUUCUGACAUCAGAAAUGUUCUCAGGCUUCGCCCCUCCACCCCGAUCCAGAAUGACACUGGGUAAAUGCUGUGCUGAAUUCGAGCUCCUCUUGCUAACCUGCAGCAAAAGCUGUGGGAACCGAUGGGAUCUGCUGAAUCAGCUCCUUAAAAAGCAAAUCUGAAGGCACUGUAUGCAUGCAAUGCAGCCAGGUGACUCAAUUACAACACCUGGGCUUAGAUUUGCAAACCAGCUAGAGCCUUGAGUUUCAGUUCAAACCUUAUCCUUAAUUUUAGUCUCUGCCCUUAAUACAUCACCUAGAAUAGGGGAUUUGUGUCCUUAUUUUUGGAGGCUGUUGCAGAGCUGAGGUGCCUGCAUGCUGCUGGAACACCACACCUUGUGUACGUCCAAAUGAUGAUGGAAUCCCAGAAAGCGUGAACCUGGUGUGUCUGCAGAUUGCAUUAUUUAAAAAGUAAUGAAAGAGAAAUACUUGGAAUCUUGGAAAACAUGUAACUUUAGGGCUUUCUUGGUACAUACUAGGAAAAUUCUGAAGUUCAAGCUUUCUAGCUUCUAGCAUGCAGAAAGCUAUCAGGGAGCGUGUGCUUGGUUUUACACGUGGUUACACACUUGAUGCAUAUUUUUGAGUCUCCUCCCUACCUUUUGCCAACUGCUUUUUGGCUGCAGCCUCACCUUUCUGACCAGCUCUGCUUGCCUGCAGGGUAACCUCCUGCUUGCACAGGCCUGGCGAGGAGAGGUGCCAGAGGAGCUGGGACAGGUCAGUGCUGGAGCCAGCCCAGCCUCGGCUCUGGUCUCUUAAGCUGCUUUUUUAUUUCCCAACAUCAUGCUGAGCUUCCCUGCUGCCAGUCCCAGGCUGAAGUGCCAGCUGGGAGGGGAAAUUCCUUUGCUUGCAAAGAAGUGAUUUUCUUUUUCUGGUAUAAUUCUAAAAGCAAAAUCAUACUUUAGUAAUACUUUUUUUUUUUUUUUUUUUUAUUCUGCUUGGAAACACCUGAAAGCUGCUGAAUCGCAUAGAUGCUCACUUUUAUUGUGUUAUCUCUGAAGAGCGCCGACCUCUUUGCCCUGUGCUGUACAAGCAUGUGGAGCUGUCCUUCGGAAAGCUUAGAUCAGGAGUAACUUGUGUUCGCAGGGCAGAAACCAGUGCUUUUUGCAGAAAAAGGGAAAGACCCGGCACAGCUGUGGGUGUUAACAGCUGCCAGCUGCAAGCCCAAAGCUUCCUCAUCUCCUGGCUGUCUUUGGACAUAGGCUAUGCAGGGAAAUUGCUGUCCCUGUGGGAGGCUUCAGAGGGGACCCUGUGCCUCAUGCACUAAUUUUCCUGAUUUUUAUAGCCUAAUUAGGUUUUUGUAGCCUAAUUAAAUCCUGAUUCUUGGGCCACCAGACUCUGCUGAUCGAUGUGGUUUCCCUUUGGCACCUUCCAUCCCAGGUAGCUCCUCUUCUGCUCCCCAGGUGCUUGAUCAGCCGUGUGGCUGCUUUGCACUGCUCCUCUCUCUUUUUUUUUUUGUCAGACAAUAAAUCACAUUUUGCUUUCUUCAGACAAGUCGGGGAGAGCCCAACAAGACUGAUGACAGAGAAGGAUCGGUAAUAUUUCCCUGUACAGAAAAUAGUUUUCUGUGCAGUGAAGCUGCUUUCUAGCAGGGCCAUGUAGGACAGCACAUCAGAGUUUGUUCUCAUCCCACCACAACCUGCCUGGGAGAUGCAAGGCUGCAGUGCAGGGAGGAGAUCACACCGCUGUUUGGGUGCUGGGGAUGCUGCUGAUCCUGCACGAUGAUGCCAUAACUGCAGGAAUUCUCCCCAAACCCUACCAUCUCCCUGUUACCCAUGCCAAAAACUUUGUGCACGGAGAAAUCCCUACAGAAAGUGCUGUUAGGGAUGGGAUGGCAAGGGGUGGUUUGGUGGUGGCACACUGUAUACAGGGGCAUAAAGGCUUGGCAAUCAUUUAAAAUGAUGAAAAAAGUGGAAAAUACCGCUAUAUUAUUUUUUCAUGCCCCUGCUGUGCUUGCACUCAGUCUGCGGUCACUGCAAGCAGCUGGCAA